GACGAACGCUGGCGGCGUGCUUAACACAUGCAAGUCGAACGGAAAGGCCCUGCUUUUGUGGGGUGCUCGAGUGGCGAACGGGUGAGUAACACGUGAGUAACCUGCCCUUGACUUUGGGAUAACUUCAUGAAACUGGGGCUAAUACCGGAUAGGAGCUCCUGCUGCAUGGUGGGGGUUGGAAAGUUUCGGCGGUUGGGGAUGGACUCGCGGCUUAUCAGCUUGUUGGUGGGGUAGUGGCUUACCAAGGCUUUGACGGGUAGCCGGCCUGAGAGGGUGACCGGCCAAAUUGGGACUGAGAUACGGCCCAGACUCCUACGGGAGGCAGCAGUGGGGAAUAUUGCACAAUGGGCGGAAGCCUGAUGCAGCACCGCCGCGUGCGGGAUGACGGCCUUCGGGUUGUAAACCGCUUUCGCCUGUGACGAAGCGUGAGUGACGGUAAUGGGUAAAGAAGCACCGGCUAACUACGUG
rnacentral:rRNA from 1 species